rnacentral:rRNA from 1 species
UACGUAGGGGCCUAGCGUUGUCCGGAAUUAUUGGGCGUAAAGAGCUCGUAGGCGGUUCGGCAAGUCGGAUGUGAAAUCUCCGGGCUUAACCCGGAGCGGCCAAGUGAUACUGUUGUGCUAGAGUGCGGAAGGGGCUACUGGAAUUCUCGGUGUAGCGGUGAAAUGCGUAGAUAUCGAGAGGAACACCUGCGGCGAAGGCGGGUAGCUGGGCCGACACUGACGCUGAGGCGCGAAAGCGUGGGGAGCGAACAGG